rnacentral:rRNA from 1 species
GGGGGGGGGGGGGGGGGGGGGGGGGGGGGGGGGGUGGGGUGGGACUUGGGGGGGGGGGGGGGGGGGGGGAGUAAGGGGUAAGGAACUUGGGUGACGGAUAGGGAGAGGAUGUGGAAAGGAAUGGUCAUACGGGGUGUUAUGGUUAGGUGGGAUGGUAUGAGUGUGAGAGGUAUAUGGGCUGUGGGGGAGGUUUGCGUCGCAUUAGCGAGUUGGAGAGGUAACGGCUCACCAAGGCGAUGAUGGGUAGCCGGCCUGAGAGGGUGAGCGGCCACAAGGGGACUGAGACACUGCCCUUCCUCCUACGGGAGGCAGCAGUGGGGAAUAAUGGACAAUGGACCAAGAGUCUGAUCCAGCAAUUCUGUGUGCACGAUGAAGUUUUUCGGAAUGUAAAGUGCUUCCAGUUGGGAAGAAAAAAAUGACGGUACCAACAGAAGAAGUGACGGCUAAAUACGUG